rnacentral:sRNA from 1 species
UGAGUUGAUACCGCCUAUCCUCCGGAUGAA